UAGUUUAACCUUUACGUGCGUUGUAUUUAGGCAUCAAAGUCUUGACUUUACUUGCCUCGUAGUUUUUUGACCUUUACGUGCGUCUUAGUUUAACGUCAUGUGCGUCAUAGUUUAGCCUUUACCUGCGUCAGGGCUUUAUAGUUUAACCUUUGUGUGAGUCGUAUUUAUGCGUUGUAGUUGUAGUUUGACCUUUACAUGCAGGGGCGCAACCAGGGGGGCUGUUUUGCUGUCAUGACAGUCCCCUUUUCCGCAGACACGCACGCAGCCAGAAAGUGCUAAGACGCACACACACGCGUUGCAUUUAAUAUUACAUUCGUUCGCUUAAAAUUGGAAUAACUUUUCGUUCAAUUGUUACGUCA